rnacentral:rRNA from 1 species
CUACGGGCCGCUGCAGUGGGGAAUAUUGCACAAUGGAGGAAACUCUGAUGCAGCCAUGCCGCGUGUGUGAAGAAGGCCCGAGGGUUGUAAAGCACUUUCAAUUGGGAGGAAGGUUAUGUAGCUAAUACCUGCAUAAUUUGACGUUACCUUUAGAAGAAGCACCGGCUAACUCUGUGCCAGCAGCCGCGGUAAUACAGAGGGUGCAAGCGUUAUUCGGAAUUACUGGGCGUAAAGCGCGCGUAGGCGGAUUGUUAAGUCAGAUGUGAAAGCCCUGGGCUCAACCUGGGAACGGCAUUUGAUACUGGCAGCCUAGAGUUUAAGAGAGGGAAGGGGAAUUUCUAGUGUAGCAGUGAAAUGCGUAGAUAUUAGAAGGAACAUCAGUGGCGAAGGCGCCUUCCUGGCUUAAAACUGACGCUGAGGUGCGAAAGCGUGGGUAGCGAACGGGAUUAGAUACCCCGGUAGUC